AUUUCAACCCCAAUUGCCAAAUUUUUCAAAAUCAAGAAACAUUGGGCUAGAUGGGAAAGACUAAGUCAUGCCAAGAUACGAGGGGGACUAGGCUUCAGAGAAUUUUCAUGUUUCAACCAAGCCCUUAUUGCAAAGCAGGGGUGGAGAAUCCUGCAUAAUCCCGAGUCUUUAAUGGCACAGAUUUUGAAGGCAAAAUACUUCAAGCACUCUAGCUUUAUGGAAGCAAAGCUGGGGUCCAAUCCAUCUUAUGUGUGGAGGAGUAUUCUGUGGGGUAGGCAAGUGUUGCAUAAAGGCUUAAGAUGGAGGAUAGGAGAUGGGAAGCAAGUAAAAAUUUCUGGAAACAAUUGGGUAAAAAAUUUUGAGAUCCCUAGAGCAAACCCACACCCCAGCUUAUCAAUGGAGGCUGUGGUGGCUGAGUUAAUUGAUGGAAGCAACAAGUGGAGGGAAGACUUGAUUGGGCAGUCUUUUUCAAAGGAAACUGCUGAACGAAUAUUGAGAACUCCACUGCCAAAAACUCCAAGACCAGAUAAGCUGGUAUGGCACUUUGAUAAACAUGGAAUCUACUCGGUUAAAAGUGGUUACCAGUUGGCAGUGAAGUUAAAAUCCCCAGAUAGGCCAAGUUGCUCAGACAUAUCCAAAACAAUGUGGAAGGUUAUCUGGGUAAAUGACAUUCCAGAGAAGGUAAAAAUUUUUAUGUGGAGGGCUGCUCAAAAUGUGCUACCAACGGUAGAAAAUCUAUGGAAGAGGAAAAUUGUACAGGAUCCAGUGUGUCAGAGAUGCUGUAGGAUGAGCGAAGAUGUGUUCCAUGCUCUGGUGGGGUGUAGUUUUGCUCGGAAAGUGUGGAAGCUGACAGAUUUUUAUGAAGAGAUUAAGGGGUUGGCUCAUCAGGAUAUGUUAAGUGUGCUGCAAGAGUUAGCAAUGAUGAGGGGGAAGAAAGACAUUGAACAAAUAAUUGCAGUUUGCUGGGCAAUAUGGCACUCGAGGAAUUGCUUUGUUUUUGAAGGAAAGAUGGAAGAUCCUCUGUAUUCAGCUACAAGAGCAGAAGCCGUUGUGGAGUCAUAUAGGAGGAUAAAUCCUGGAAAAAAUAAUGCUUUGGCUGGGCAGCAACAAAAUGGGCAGCAAGUUUGGAAGCCUCCUCUACCUGGCUGUUUCAAAGUAAAUGUAGAUGCGGCUACAAAUUUAUCUAAGCAAAGGGGAGGGAUUGGGGCUGUGGUCAGAGAUUCCAGAGGAGAUUGUGUAGCUGCAGCAGCCCAGAGAACUACCCUUAAAGGUAAUGUUGCAGACAUGGAGGCUGAAGCUGUGCUACUAGGCAUCCAAGUAGCGAGGAAAGCAAAUUGUGCCCAUUUUGUUAUUGAAUCAGACUCUAAAGAAGUUGUGGAGCUUGUUCUGAAAAGGAAGAGCAGCUUAGCUGAAAUAUCAUGGAACAUAGAAGAAAUUCAGGAAUGUUUAAAAGGGCAGAGCACGACAUCUAUUUUUUUUGUGCCAAGAAGGUGUAAUGUCAUGGCUCAUAACUUGGCAAAAGUUGCUUUAGAUUGUGUAGACCCUGUCCUCUGGAUAGGAAAUUGCCCAGUUCCCGCUGGAGAUAUUUUUCUCCAGCUUUAAUCUUUGGAAAGGCUUACUUUCUUUCAAAAAAAAAAAAAAAAAGAAACGUCCAUAGACUUUCUUUUACUCGGCUUCAAGAAUUCCACAUUCCCAUAAACCUAAUUGUUUGAAAAUGCGGAUGGAAAACUAAUAAAAACCCAUCAUGCGAAUGAAUUGCUAGUUUUUUUUGGGGCCCUACCCAAUCAAUUAUACAAAUUAAUUAAUAACUUAUGUCAUGCCGUGCCCAUGCUAAGUUAGUAACUUAUGUCCACCUAAGAGUGGUGAUAAAAUAUUUAUAAGUGUUUUCUUUUCUUUUUGAUUGUCAAAUAAUCUUUAAGUU
rnacentral:lncRNA from 1 species